ACCCCGUGCCGCCCCAGCCCUCCGCCCGUCUGGCCCACUUGCAGCGUCCACCACGGGGUGGCCCGUGGGACCUGAGCGGGGCCUCUCCCUGGUGGUAAGCCUGGGGCGGGGGUGGGGGGCGGCGUCAAGUGACCCUGUGCCAGAGCUGGGCACCAAGGCCAAGCUCCGUGGAUGGUCCCCAGGCCCUUCUCAGAGCGAAGGACAGUGGGCAUCCUGGAGGGGAGGCAGGGAAGACAGCUGGGACCACCUUCCCUCCAGGACCUCUUUGCGCUCCCCGCCCCCCACAGCCAGGACGGCAGGCACAGAGGAAGCUCCCAGGGUCCCUGCAGCCUGCGGGCCAGGUGGAGUCCAUCAGGGCGCCCCCUAAACAGCCUGACCACCUUGCCUCCUUCCUCCCCAUCCUCGCCCAGCGCCAGUGGGUGGGCCAGCCGCAGGGAGACAUCGGGGCUCUCCACCGGACACCCCCGAGUCACCCUCAGCCACCCAACACCUGGGCGCCUUGCAGAACUGACCCUGGACCUGCAAGCAGAGGGCUGUCCUGGGCUGCUUAGACCUCGGCCUGAAGUUCCUCGGGGUCGCCUGGGCCAGGCCUGGCACCGCGCGGGUCUCAGGGCGCCCUCUCAAAGGGUGUAUACCUCCGCCCACAAGGUCUCCUGAACUGUACCCCUCCCUGGACUGGGCCCCGCUGCCCCGGACCUGGGGAAUGAGAGUCAGUGGGGCCGGGAGUGGAGCAGGAAACUGGCACGUCAGGAGGACCGGAGGCACCUGCCGAGGGGUUGGCGAGUCUUGCUCCCAGGAUCAGACCCUGCGGACAGGCCUUGGCCCAUGGAGCAGGGAUGGUGGUGCCUGCUGCUCAGGCUGUGCAGGGUGCUGAAAAACCAGGCAGUGGGGCCUGUAGCUGCUGCAGCCCCUCCAGGGGCGGUCUUGAGGUGGAGGGUGCUUUUGGUUUAAACUGCAGAGUGGGCUGGUGAUAGCUCCUCAGCCACCAUCCCUCGUGGCCUCAAACUGCAAGGACGUGCCAACCCACGGUGCUUCUGGUCUCGGAGAGGGGCCUCAGUGACUUCAGAGCAGGGAGUGGGUAAGACCAGGGCAGAAGUGGGCUCAAGGUGGGUGCAGGGACCUCUGCAGAAGUUGGUGGGUGCUCAGUCCUGGCCCUUAUGGGGACUUGGCUCCCCACCCCACCAGCUGAGGGCUAACAAGACUGCCUGCUGGCUGUUGUUUCGGUGGGUUGUGGAUGGAUGUGCCAUUUCUGUAAAUGCUGGGGGCUGGGUCUGCUGUAAGCUGGCAUCCAUGGUAGAGCCACUCUGUGGAUUAAGAAUGAGCCCGGUGGCCCUGCCCAUCCCUGGCCAGCCUCUGCCCUUGAGUGUCCCAGAGGGCCAGGAGGACACCAGGAGAGCCUCCCUGAAGGCAGGUGAGAGAGGCCCAGGUGCUGGCUCACGAGGUGCUUGGUGCCUGCCCAAUAGGAAGCAUUCCAGGCACUGCAGAAAAAUGAAAAAGCAGGAUCCAUGUGGGUCGUGGCCACUGGUGGGGGUUUGCCACUCCGUUUCACGCAGGGGUCUGCUCCUGUGAAGACCGCCUGCUCCUGGAGACACGGCCCAGGCCCAGUGACCCCGCGGCAGGAAACGUCUUGCUGCCCUGUUUCUCAGCCAUGGAACAGAUGUGCCAGCCGAGCCAUCCUCAGUGCAGCCCAGAGGCGCAGGGUUUGGCUGCUGUGAUGACCUCUGGUGCCCUCUGCCCAGACCUACUUUUUCGGAGCCCACCUCCUGCGCAUCUUCUCCCAGCUGCUUCAUCUGCUGAGGCCGGGUUGGCCCGGCCUUGUCAGCUUUCUCCUGAUUAUUCUUAACGGCUUUAGGGAGGCACAUCUCCCGUACCAUCGAUUCACCACAAAGGUGCCACUCAAUUCGUUUUUUGUAAUGGCUUUACCCCGUAGUACCACAAUCAUCAGUUUUAGAACAUUUUCGUCCCCAAAGAGAUGCCGUACCCACGAAGCAGUCACUCACUGCUCUUCCCUCUGCCCCCACCCCCCCCCCCGGCCCCGGCAGCCACGCAUCUGCUCCCUCCCUGUUUGCUUAUUCUGGACUCUGCGCAGAAAUGGAGUGUAGCACGUAUCUGUCCUUUAGUCCUCUUAUGGAUGAACACGCAUUGUGUGGGUAGACCCGCCUUUUGUUUAUCAGUUGAUCUGUUGGUGGAUAUUUGGGUUGUUUCCACUUCUUGGCUAUUGUGAUUAAUGACGCUGUGAACAGUCACGCACAAGCUUUGUUUUUUUUUUUUUUUCUUCUUAGGGCGAUACCCACAGCAUAUGGAGGUUCCCAGGCUAGUGGCUGAAUAGGAGCCACAGCAAUGCAGGAUCUGAGCCAUGCCUGUGACCUACACCACAGCUCACGGCAACACCGGAUCCUUAACCCACUGAGCAAGGCCAGGGAUCGAACCCACAACCUCAUGGAUCCUAGUCGGAUUCUUUUCCGCUGUGCCGCAAGGGGAACUCCUAGAGUGAAAUUCUUUAUUUUUUAAUCCAAAAAAAUUUUAUGGCCACACCUGUGGCACAUGGAAGUUCCUGGGCCAGGGACUGAAUCUGAGCCACAGCUGUGAGCUGCAGCAGUGCGGGAUCUUUCGCCCAUUGUGCCAGUUUGGGGAUCAAACCCAUUCCUCCCCAGAGACCCAAGCAGCUGCAAUCAGAUUCUUAACCCCCUGUGGGAACUCCAACAGUGAAAUUCAUGAGCUUGUUUUUGAGAACUUCUCCCGACUAAAUGAAAUAUGGAAUUACUUACUAAGUUGUCCAACCUCCCUGCCAGAGAGCUGUCACCCUACAUCCUAGGUGCCACAAGUAAUGUUGCCAAUCUAAUGGGUGAAGAGGGUAUAUUUUGCUUUACUUUCUAUUUUGCAGAAUAAAAUUGUAUCUUCACAACUGUUCACACCUUUUCAUAACCUAUCCAUUCUGUAAACAACCCAAAGUCACUUCCUCCUACAGGCUCCCCCGGACCCUCUUCCUGGGCCCUCCUGGGUGCCCCACCUGGCCUGACCCCGACUCUUCCCAGGGUGGGCGGCUCACAGCCAGUGCUGCCGUCGUCUCUGGGGCUAGAGGACGACAUGCAGGCCGACCCCCUUUCUGCAGCGGCCUUGAGAGCCGCGCUGUCACCUGCAAGACUUGCCCAGGGAACGGGGCAGACGCGAGGG
ensembl:lncRNA